CCACGGGGCCCCCGAUCCUCCUUGCCAGUGCCCAGCUUCCCAGUGAGGGUAGUCGGGCUUUAACCAAAACGCACCGACUGCACUCGCUACACUUGAACAAGACUGAGCUUUUAUUCCCUCCGGUGUUUCUGAGUCACUCACUCAGUCUGGCAAAGAACACAAGCACGAACUUGCAUUAAGGGGAUGCGUAAUAAAGCUUUUAACUCGGUUCGAAUCCGACAAUAUAUGUAAUUAUAAUGAAAUGAUAAUUGUCAGUAUGGAACAUCUGUAGCCCAGAUGUGACUCGGAUACCCGCAGCUGUUUUUCAGUACGAUUGCUUUUGAAUCUUAUGGCAUGAAUCAAGAUGGAUUACAUCCACAUGAGCAUGUAAUACUGAAGUUCCGUUUCAGCAUGUCUGAGUGUUUUAGAAAUAGACAUUGUCUGCGGGAAUGGUCUGCCAAAAGAACUUCAAAAGGCUUUAUUUCCAAGAUAAUAUUAAAUGAGUUUGAUUUUAAAGUUACCCGUUCACCUGUUUUUCUCCUACUCAGGGUCGGCCAUUUUGCCACUCGCUGUCAACUUAAAGUGACAUCACAAUCUCAGGUCACAACCAAUCACAGCCCAGCUUCAGAAAACUGGUGAGCUGUGAUUGGUUGUGAUGUCAAACCUGGAAACUGUGAUGUCAUUUUCCAUCGACUGCAAGUGACAAAAUGGCCGCCCUCGGAGAUGGAUUUAAACAGGUGGAUUAUUCCUGUUUAAUUCAUAUUCCGCAAUUAAUCAAAACACUGUUUUUAGAAAAAUGAGGAUUAACUUCCUCUUUAAUUAUAUUGAAUAUAUCUUCUUAUAUACAUCCACAGAAAAGUAGACAAAUACUCAAAAUAUUUCAUCUUUAACGAUAAAAAUACCAACUUUCGUUUUUUUCCAAGCAAUCUUCAAACAAUUAGCGCGACUUGAAUGCUUCCACUUCAUAACUGCUAGCACUUGAGGAUCACAGCUGUUCACUGAGCGAGGAAAGUGGAGACUUGAGACCCUGAUGAUAUGCUGUAUUCAAGACCUGAGAGUUUCCAUGAAAGCUGCUGGAAAUACCCAACGCAUUCAUCGCUCCAAAUGGUGAAAGAGUCCAUUUAAAAAAUAGCCACUCCCCUUCAGCAUCUUUCCCUUCCCUCCAAUGCGUCACAUUGGAUAGAAGAAGGAGGAUCAAGUGUCCACGGUUCCUCCCAUCACCUGUGAAAUUUCUGAGUCAGUUCACGGUGAAAGGGGGCAUUGUGUCCCCCUGAUGAGGAAUGCCCUUGCGUCGCUCCUCAAAGAAAUGGCUUCAUUUGGCCAGGAAUUUGGAGGCAUCUUGAGAAGUGUUGGAGUUUUUCUGAGGGCUGGUGAUAGAAAGAAGAAGACUUCAGGCAGCACAGAUUGGCCUGCUAUUCUCAAUAAGUGAUACUAAAUCAAUUGUUACCCAAAAGAUGACUGUAGACCAUGUACUCCGGAAUAGCAAUAAUAAAUCAAAUUGAUGUGCAA